rnacentral:rRNA from 1 species
GACGAACGCUGGCGGCGUGCCUAAUACAUGCAAGUCGAACGAGAGCGACCGGUGCUUGCACUGGUCAAUCUAGUGGCGAACGGGUGAGUAACACGUGGGUAACCUGCCCAUCAGAGGGGGAUAACAUUCGGAAACGGAUGCUAAAACCGCAUAGGUCCUUUAACCGCAUGGUUGAAGGAGGAAAAGAGGCGCAAGCUUCUGCUGAUGGAUGGACCCGCGGUGCAUUAGCUAGUUGGUGAGGUAACGGCUCACCAAGGCCGUGAUGCAUAGCCGACCUGAGAGGGUGAUCGGCCACAUUGGGACUGAGACACGGCCCAAACUCCUACGGGAGGCAGCAGUAGGGAAUCUUCCGCAAUGGACGCAAGUCUGACGGAGCAACGCCGCGUGAGUGAAGAAGGUUCUCGGAUCGUAAAACUCUGUUGUUAGAGAAGAACAAGUGCUAGAGUAACUGUUAGCGCCUUGACGGUAUCUAACCAGAAAGCCACGGCUAACUACGUGCCAGCAGCCGCGGUAAUACGUAGGUGGCAAGCGUUGUCCGGAUUUAUUGGGCGUAAAGCGAGCGCAGGCGGUUCCUUAAGUCUGAUGUGAAAGCCCCCGGCUCAACCGGGGAGGGUCAUUGGAAACUGGGGAACUUGAGUGCAGAAGAGGAGAGUGGAAUUCCAUGUGUAGCGGUGAAAUGCGUAGAUAUAUGGAGGAACACCAGUGGCGAAGGCGACUCUCUGGUCUGUAACUGACGCUGAGGCUCGAAAGCGUGGGUAGCAAACAGG